UAUGAUAUCCUAUUAUGCAAAGACUAUACAAGUGAAAGUAGAACUGGCAAAGCUCUAUUGGCCCAUGGUCGAACAGAAUUUGGGGGGCAACAUUAUUAUAUUUGAGCUGGACUUCUCAUUUGGUCACACCAAGUUUUUUGACUAAAAAGAGGGUCCUUACGCACGCUUCAUCUUGUAUAUCUCUGCUGCGGUUCAUUCGCUCCAAUUACCUACAGUUUGAAUUGAACCUUCCUACUUCAAAUAAACGUGUUACAAAUGCGUACGAUAUAUUUUUCAGAGAAAAGGACUUCAAAUUGAAACUCACAGGAAUACGGAGAAGCUCAUUUUGAGACUAAUAGUUAAAAAAAAUCCGAUUGUUAUCGGAAAUUGACGGGAAAGUAAACGUAAUUCCACUAUUAAUGGCGCCUCCUCAAGAUGGCAAAGCAGCUGAAGUCAAAGAGGAAUCUGUACCUCAACGCCCAAUCUCCGAUGUCGUUUUCAUUAUUGGUACUCCAUUUUUCUAUAUAUAUUUUGAGAUUUUUUUGUGUUUGUUAGUAUGUAUUUAUAUGCUAACUUCUUUGUGUGUGUGUGUGAAUGGUGAAUAGCUAUGAAGAAGGAGGCUUCACCUCUAGUGGAGAAGUUCCAGCUCACCGAAGAAUCCAAUUCUCUGUGGGCCUUCUUUUUUUAUUUAAGCUUUAUAAGUAAUUUAGUUCAGUUGAGAUCCGACCAAAAAAAAAAAAAAACUGAGAAAAAUGAGGAUUGGGAAAAAGUAAAGGAGACUGACUGUCUCGUACAAUUUGUACUGGUGAUCUUUGGAAAGUUUAAGCCUACUGUAGUGAUAAGUGGAAUUUAAUAACGACUCGUUUAUUUAUGCUCAGUCAUUGUUGGAUUUAAAAUAAAUUAAUUGGAAAAGAAUGUGUUUUGUUAUAUUGUUGCCAUUCUACAAGUGGCCGUUACCCUUUUAUGAUUUGUUUUAUCUAUUAUCAUUUUGUGAAAAUGAUGCAGGUUUCCAAAGGGGGUCCCGUGGGUGAGGUACAGUGGAAAAUAUAAAGAUCUGAAUAUCAACAUUGUUUCCCCUGGAAAAGACAUAGUUUUGGGUCUCUCUCUCUCUUUCCUCCUUAAUUCUUGAUGGCAUGUUAUGGAUUUUGAUUUUGUUACGUGAAUUGUUUUCAGUCUCUGGUAUAUGUGUUCACUAUUAAGCCUAAUCUGCUUAUUUCUAGAUAUUUUGUCAUUUUGGCCCUAUUGUGAUGAUAAGAUUCUUUGAAAAGAUUUGAACAUAUUUUCUCCGAAACUAAAUAAAAUUAAGUACCAUGUAGUUAAGAGCGAUCAAUAAACCUUAUCCUUGGGCCAUUCAAUAUUUUUUCAUCCAGGGGUGGCGGUGGGUAGGGGGAUUGGUAUCGGAGGAAUCACUAUGAAAGUGGUUGAUCAUUCUUGAGUAUAUGUUAUUUUUAGUAGAGGAAGAAGGUAUGCAGUCACAUUAAGUUCUGUAACUGGAUUAUGAAUAUUGUGAUGCAUUAUGCAGUUUAAGGAGCUUUGUUGUUAUUUGUUGCCAUUGUUGGUUAGUCACCACAGUGAAUUUCCGACCGCUGUGUUCUUAAUUGUUUCUUUAUCAGGUGUUGACAGCGUAGGCACAGUUUCUGCAUCACUUAUAACUUAUGCUUCUAUUCAAGCAUUGCAACCAGACCUUAUCAUAAAUGCAGGCACUGCUGGAGGUUUCAAGGUAUUAUGAAUGCGGAUAUGAUGGCUUUCAUUUUUUUAUUUUUAUUUUUUAGAUGUGUUGAUCUUCUGAACCUUAUCAUAAUUGUUUAUAUUUCCAUCCUCCUUUUUCCAUGUGGCAUUUAUCGAUUCUGCUGCUGAUAGUUUUUUUCAUAUAUGUAAAAUUUGCCCUGGUUCCUUCCUUUCUUAUUCUUUUAACCAAUUUCUUUAGAUAUUUUCUUUUUCUUUUUCUUUUUCUUUUUCUAUUUUUACUUGUACUUUCUAUUUCCCUCUGUUGUUUGUUGUCUGACUGAUUCUGUAUUUAUAUGGACACCAAAAUGUUAAAACUUCUUUCCUAAAAAGUCAAUGUCACGUUUUCAGUAAAGAAUUUGAUUUAUUUCUUUGUGUUAUGACAUUUUACGCACAUUUUAGGUUCUGGCUUCCUUCGACUUGUACUAGAUGGAAUCUAUUACCUUGCUGAUAUAGAAGUUACAGUCAUAUCUUAAAUAUAGGAUAACAAAGUCACACUUACUACAGAGAGUGUUUAAUCACUCUUUUGUUGCAUAUCUUAUAUUGAUAUCUAGAUUUUACCAGGCAAAAGGUGCUUGCAUAGGUGAUGUAUACCUUGCAUCAGAUGUUGCUUUCCAUGACCGAAGAAUUCCUAUCCCUGUAAGUUUUUCCGUCUUUAUUUUUCCUCAUUUAUUUUUUCCUGGUGCAUGGCUGGGGCAGAUACAAUUAGACAUCAUCAAAUGAAAGCAACACCAAAUUUAUUGGGAACAGAAAACAAGGCUCAAUUUUUUGUUACAUAUACACAUCGUAGG
rnacentral:lncRNA from 1 species